UGGGGUCGUUUAGAAGAAAUAAAAGUCGUAACAAGGUUUCCUUAGGUGAACUGCGGAAGGAUCAGUAUUGAAAUAGCAAGACGGGAAGGUUUGCUGGCCCUAGUGGCGGUGCACGCUAUAUGUCCUUCAUUUAUCCAUGUAUUUGUGCAUCUCUUGGGUAGACCCAUGUGUUAGGACUAAUUUGAAAAUAUGAUUGUGGGCUUUCCUAGUUUAUAAGUCGUAAUAAACACCAGAGUAACGAUUUGGAAUGAAUGAUGCAAUAUAUAAAGCACAACUUUCAGCAUCGGAUAUCUUGGCUCUUGCAUCGAUGAAGAACGCAGCGAAAUGAGAUAAGUAAUGUGAAUUGCAGAAUUCAGUAAAUCAUCGAAUCUUUGAACGCAUCUUGCGCUCCUUGGUAUUCCUAGGAGCAUGCCUGUUUGAGUGUCAUAAAUAUCUCACCCGCACCCUAUGGUGGUGUGGCUUGGAUUUGGAGGUGGCAGGCUGAGUUAGCUCCCCUGAAAAACAUUGGCGGUGCCCGACGUGAUGUGAUAAAUUAUCCGCAUCUGUUUAUGAGCUGCCGUGUCGUGUUGGAGUUUAUAAACUUGCCCUCAAAUCAGGUCGGACCUUCCUCUAACUUAAGCAUAUCAAUAAGCGGAGGA
rnacentral:rRNA from 1 species